GCAAGUCGAGCGGAAACAGAAAGUAGCUUGCUACUUUGCUGUCGAGCGGCGGACGGGUGAGUAAUGCCUAGAUAUCUGCCUAGUCGUGGGGGAUAACAGUUGGAAACGACUGCUAAUACCGCAUACGCCCUACGGGGGAAAGGAGGGGACCUUCGGGCCUUUCGCUAUUAGAUGAGCCUGCGUGAGAUUAGCUUGUUGGUGAGGUAAAGGCUCACCAAGGCGACGAUCUCUAGCUGGUCUGAGAGGAUGAUC
rnacentral:rRNA from 1 species